AAUCUGCAGUCAUGUGCUUGCCCUGUGUUGUAUGUACGCAGGGAUUACUGACUUGCAGAGAGAACAUUCUAGAGGAAGCCGAGACAACGCUGUGAAAGUCUUAGCAAGCGUCUGUGCUAUGUUCCUCUAACAUCCGCAUCUCUGUUGCCACGGAGGUAAUAACUCCUUCAUGUGUUAUUACCCAUCAAUCAACAGAGAGACUAAAGCAGAGUGAUAUUAUUUACAGAAUGAAGUCUUCUGUUAAACACUAGAAACUGCUACAUUU